UNGCCAUAUGUGACUGGAGAUUCUUAGG
rnacentral:piRNA from 1 species